UACGGAGGGUGCGAGCGUUGUUCGGAUUUACUGGGCGUAAAGGGUGCGUAGGCGGGUUGGCAGGUCGGAUGUGAAAACUCCACGGCUUAACCGGGAGCUUGCAUUCGAAACCGCCAGUCUUGAGUACGGGAGAGGAAAGCGGAAUUCCUGGUGUAGCGGUGAAAUGCGUAGAUAUCAGGAAGAACACCGGUGGCGAAGGCGGCUUUCUGGCCCGAUACUGACGCUCAGGCACGAAGGCUAGGGGA
rnacentral:rRNA from 1 species